CGCGCCGCCGGCAUGGCGGGCGCGGCGCUGGCAUCGCUGCCGCAGGCCGGCUACCGGCCCGCGCUCGACACGCCGGCGGCACGU
rnacentral:tRNA from 1 species